GGGGCUGUUUGCUGAGUGCUGCUAAUGUUUGACAACCUCUGCACCUCCUGUGGAUCCGCACAGCCCCCCUCCUGUAAUCAGCUUCAGGAGGCGCAUAGGGGAUUAUCCUCCAGCCUCCAGCUGCCCUCUACGUGAGAGAAUCAUUCCUGAGCCAGUUCACCCCAAAGACCUGAGAGUCUUCAAAGGAUUGUGGGUGAGAGGCAUGGGGAGCAGUUCAGGGGUCUUGGCAUCUGGCCUGUUGGCUGAUCUCCCCAGUGAGUGGCCUGCUUUACCCUGUUGGUCAGAACAGUGUCCAGAGGACAGAAGAGGUGUGCAGAAGCAGGUGUGGACCGCCCCAUGCCCAGGCAGGAACAAUCAAUUGCCACAGUGAGGCCCGGGAGCUCCCCGCUUCUCCCUGCUCCCUCCCAGUUCCAGCUGGAGGGGCCUCAUGGAUCCCAGUGAGGAUGUCAUGGAACAGAGCCCCCUGCUGACCUGAGAUG